CACGUAGGGUGCGAGCGUUGUCCGGAAUUAUUGGGCGUAAAGAGCUCGUAGGCGGUGUGUCGCGUCGGUCGUGAAAACCUGCAGCUUAACUGUGGGCUUGCGGUCGAUACGGGCAUCACUGGAGUUCGGCAGGGGAGACUGGAAUUCCUGGUGUAGCGGUGAAAUGCGCAGAUAUCAGGAGGAACACCGGUGGCGAAGGCGGGUCUCUGGGCCGAUACUGACGCUGAGGAGCGAAAGCGUGGGGAGCGAACAGG
rnacentral:rRNA from 1 species